rnacentral:rRNA from 1 species
GAUGAACGCUGACAGAAUGCUUAACACAUGCAAGUCGAUGGGGAAGUGGCGCUUGCAGCAUGGUAACCAUGGCGGAAGGGUGAGUAACGCGUAAGGAACUUGCCUGCGGGACUGGGGUAACAGCAGGAAACUGCUGAUAAUACAGGAGAAGGUCAUUAAGCUGCAUAGCUUAGUGAUGAAAGGAGACGCCUGCUGAGAGCCUUGCGUCGUAUUAGCUAGUUGGAGGGGUGACGGCGCACCAAGGCGGAGAUAGGUAGCCGGCCUGAGAGGGUGGACGGCCACAGGGGGACUGAGAUACCGCCCUUACUCCUACGGGAGGCAGCAGUGGGGAAUAUUGGACAAUGGGGGCAACCCUGAUCCAGCAAUUCUGUGUGCACGAAGACGGUUUUCGGAUUGUAAAGUGUUUUCAGCAGGGAAGAAGGGAGUGACGGUACCUGCAGAAGAAGCGACGGCUAAAUACGUG